rnacentral:rRNA from 1 species
GACGUAGGGCGCGAGCGUUGUCCGGAUUUAUUGGGCGUAAAGAGCUCGUAGGCGGUGUGUCGCGUCGGCCGUGAAAACCUGGGGCUCAACUCUGGGCGUGCGGUCGAUACGGGCAUCACUAGAGUUCGGCAGGGGAGAAUGGAAUUCCUGGUGUAGCGGUGAAAUGCGCAGAUAUCAGGAAGAACACCCGUGGCGAAGGCGGUUCUCUGGGACGGUACUGACGCUGAGACGCGAAAGCGUGGGGGAGCGAACAGG